rnacentral:ncRNA from 2 species
AUCAAAUUUAAUCUCCGAGCCGUUUUCCUAAGUCCUCGCUUACGGGAGAUGGAGAUCGGCCGACAGGGCAUGGUUGGAAACGGCCAUGCCUCCCGUGUUUGGAAAGGAGAUAAGAAAUAGGUCUU